UACGAACUGUGCGAACGUUAUUCGGAAUCACUGGGCUUACAGGGUGCGUAGGCGGCUUAGCAAGUCAGGUGUGAAAGCCCCCGGCUCAACCGGGGAACUGCGCUUGAAACUGCUGAGCUCGAGUCAGCUAGAGGUACACGGAACUUCCAGUGGAGCGGUGAAAUGUGUUGAUAUUGGAAGGAACACCGGAGGCAAAAGCGGUGUACUGGGGCUGGUCUGACGCUGAGGCACGAAAGCCAGGGGAGCGAACGGG
rnacentral:rRNA from 1 species